rnacentral:lncRNA from 1 species
GGCUUUUUGGUCUUUCCUGCUGCCUUGUGAAGAAGGUGCUUGUUUCUUCUUUGCCUUCUGCCAUGAUUGCCAUGUGAAUCGCACCCCUGGAACUGUGCAGGGCCCACCUGUGUGGCCACACGCAGUGACCCUGAGCAAAGGAGUGACCACAGAAGUGCAUGGCAAAGCAGAAAGGUGUGACGUCUUGGAGGACGCGGGAGGAAAGCACGCCCAGCGGACAGGAGCCAUCACGCGGCUGCGGGCUGCUGCUGAGAACCUGGCGUGGGCCACCGUCGUCAGCAGCGUGGAGGUAACUGACGACCUUGGCCAAGAAGUUGGGUGGCAGCGUGGAGGUCAUGCUCAGAGGAGGCAUUUGCCCAGGAAGGCUGUGCCUGUGGCAGAGACUCA